UACGUAGGGGGCGAGAGUUGUCCGGAUUUACUGGGUGUAAAGGGUGCUCAGGUGGAUUUGUAAGUCAGAGGUGAAAUCCCAAAGCUCAACUUUGGAGCUGCCUUUGAUACUGCAAGUCUGGAGUUUGGGAGAGGGUAAUGGAAUAUCUGGUGUAGCAGUGAAAUGCGUAGAUAUCAGAUAGAACACCAAUGGCGAAGGCAGUUGCCUGGCCCAAAACUGACGCUAAAGCACGAAAGUGCGGGGAGCAAACAGG
rnacentral:rRNA from 1 species